AUGGCAUGGUCAGAGGCUGCUGUGGGCAUCACACGCCCCGCUGUUGUUUUUGUUGUGAUGUGUGACGUGCGUUUGGAGAUUGCAUAUUUCCCCUGCUCCAUGGAAGGUGCACACUCUCGGGCUGAUUGCAAUCAGGCUGAUUGGUGGCCCAGGCCCGCUUCUCCUGCUGGUGCGGUGGUUGGGCUCAUGGUUCUGUGCUCUGCCCUACAAACUUUCCUCCCUCACCAUGUUCCCCUUGAACUUCCUCCUACCCAGCAGAUGGCCCCCCAGCCCAUCAUCCCUUCUCUUGGGCUGAGACCAGGCCUGCAGCCUGGGCCUACAGCCAGGAGGAGCCACCCUGGAAAGAGGCUGGGCAGGGGGCCAGGUGCCCCAGGACAGCCCCCCAGAGCCCAUGGCAGACAUUCCAGCCCCCAAACCCUAUUCCUCCCCCUGGAAACAGCCCUCCUCCCAGCUCAGGCAAAACCUCAGGUUCAAGUCUGCCUCUUAGCCACACUCUGAGA
rnacentral:lncRNA from 1 species